UCGAGCGGACAGAUGGGAGCUUGCUCCCUGAUGUUAGCGGCGGACGGGUGAGUAACACGUGGGUAACCUGCCUGUAAGACUGGGAUAACUCCGGGAAACCGGGGCUAAUACCGGAUGGUUGUUUGAACCGCAUGGUUCAAACAUAAAAGGUGGCUUCGGCUACCACUUACAGAUGGACCCGCGGCGCAUUAGCUAGUUGGUGAGGUAACGGCUCACCAAGGCAACGAUGCGUAGCCGACCUGAGAGGGUGAUCGGCCACACUGGGACUGAGACACGGCCCAGACUCCUACGGGAGGCAGCAGUAGGGAAUCUUCCGCAAUGGACGAAAGUCUGACGGAGCAACGCCGCGUGAGUGAUGAAGGUUUUCGGAUCGUAAAGCUCUGUUGUUAGGGAAGAACAAGUACCGUUCGAAUAGGGCGGUACCUUGACGGUACCUAACCAGAAAGCCACGGCUAACUACGUGCCAGCAGCCGCGGUAAUACGUAGGUGGCAAGCGUUGUCCGGAAUUAUUGGGCGUAAAGGGCUCGCAGGCGGUUUCUUAAGUCUGAUGUGAAAGCCCCCGGCUCAACCG
rnacentral:rRNA from 1 species